rnacentral:rRNA from 1 species
AGUGAACGCUGGCGGCAGGCCUAACACAUGCAAGUCGAACGGCAGCACAAGAGAGCUUGCUCUCUGGGUGGCGAGUGGCGGACGGGUGAGGAAUGUAUCGGAAUCUGCCCAUUUGUGGGGGAUAACUUCGGGAAACCGGGACUAAUACCGCAUACGACCUACGGGUGAAAGCAGGGGAUCUUCGGACCUUGCGCAGAUGGAUGAGCCGAUGCCGGAUUAGCUAGUUGGAGGGGUAAAGGCCCACCAAGGCGACGAUCCGUAGCUGGUCUGAGAGGAUGAUCAGCCACACUGGAACUGAGACACGGCCCAGACUCCUACGGGAGGCAGCAGUGGGGAAUAUUGGACAAUGGGCGCAAGCCUGAUCCAGCCAUGCCGCGUGUGUGAAGAAGGCCUUCGGGUUGUAAAGCACUUUUGUUGGGAAAGAAAAGCAGCCGGUUAAUACCCGGUUGUCAUGACGGUACCCAAAGAAUAAGCACCGGCUAACUUCGUG